GUUAGGAAUAUUGGACAAUGGGCGCAAGCCUGAUCCAGCCAUGCCGCGUGAACGAUGAAGGCCUUCGGGUUGUAAAGUUCUUUAGCCGAUGAUUAUAAUGACUGUAGUCGGAAAAUAAGCCCCGGCUAACUUCGUGCCAGCAGCCGCGGUAAUACGAAGGGGGCGAGCGUUAUUCGGAAUCACUGGGCGUAAAGCGUGCAUAGGCGGUCUCGUAAGUUAGGAGUGAAAGCCCAGGGCUCAACCUUGGAAUUGCUCUUAAAACUGCAAGGCUAGAAUCUCGGAGAGGAUAGCGGAAUUUCCAGUGUAGCAGUGAAAUGCGUAGAUAUUGGAAGGAACACCAGUGGCGUAAGCGGCUAUCUGGACGAGUAUUGACGCUGAGGCACGAAAGCGUGGGGAUCAAACAGGAUUAGAAACCCGAGUAGUCC
rnacentral:rRNA from 1 species